rnacentral:rRNA from 1 species
UUAUCGGAGAGUUUGAUCCUGGCUCAGGACGAACGCUGGCGGCGUGCCUAAUACAUGCAAGUCGAGCGGACAGAUGGGAGCUUGCUCCCUGAUGUUAGCGGCGGACGGGUGAGUAACACGUGGGUAACCUGCCUGUAAGACUGGGAUAACUCCGGGAAACCGGGGCUAAUACCGGAUGCUUGUUUGAACCGCAUGGUUCAGACAUAAAAGGUGGCUUCGGCUACCACUUACAGAUGGACCCGCGGCGCAUUAGCUAGUUGGUGAGGUAACGGCUCACCAAGGCGACGAUGCGUAGCCGAC